rnacentral:pre_miRNA from 1 species
UUUCUACUUCCUCCGUCCUGAAUUAGUUGACGCUCAAAUGGAUGUAUCUAGACGUAUUUCAGUGCUAGACACAUCUGUUUGCGCAUCAACUAAUUCCGGAUGGAGGAAGUAAUUA